GAGGAACAGAAGAAACCAAGUUGAAAAAAACAUCAAUAUUAUAAUUACAUUAUUCAAUUGUAAUGUUUGUCUCAUUUACUUAUAAUCUAUGUAAUUGUUAUUUACUGCUGCUCUUUGAUGAUUUGUUAUUCACGGUAAGGUCUACUACACCUGUUGUAUUCAGCAUUUCACUGUGAGGUCUACUACACCUGUUGUAUUCAGCAUUUCACUGUGAGGUCUACUACACCUGUUGUAUUCAGCAUUUCACUGUGAGGUCUACUACACCUGUUGUAUUCAGCAUUUCACUGUAAGGUCUACUACACCUGUUGUAUUCAGCAUUUCACUGUAAGGUCUACUACACCUGUUGUAUUCAGCAUUUCACUGUAAGGUCUACUACACCUGUUGUAUUCAGCAUUUCACUGUAAGGUCUGCUACACCUGUUGUAUUCAGCAUUUCACUGUGAGGUCUACUACACCUGUUGUAUUCAGCAUUUCACUGUGAGGUCUACUACACCUGUUGUAUUCAGCAUUUCCCUGUAAGGUCUACUACACCUGUUGUAUUCAGCAUUUCACUGUAAGGUCUAUUACACCUGUUGUAUUCAGCAUUUCACGGUAAGGUCUACCUCACCUGUUGUAUUCAGCAUUUCACUGUGAGGUCUACCUCACCUGUUGUAUUCAGCAUUUCACUGUGAGGUCUACCUCACCUGUUGUAUUCAGCAUUUCACUGUGAGGUCUACUACACCUGUUGUAUUCAGUAUUUCACUGUGAGGUCUACCUCACCUGUUGUAUUCAGCAUUUCACUGUGAGGUCUACUACACCUGUUGUAUUCAGCAUUUCACUGUAAGGUCUACUACACCUGUUGUAUUCAGUAUUUCACUGUGAGGUCUACCUCACCUGUUGUAUUCAGCAUUUCACUGUGAGGUCUACCUCACCUGUUGUAUUCAGCAUUUCACUGUGAGGUCUACUACACCUGUUGUAUUCAGCAUUUCACUGUAAGGUCUACCUCACCUGUUGUAUUCAGCAUUUCACUGUGAGGUCUACUACACCUGUUGUAUUCAGUAUUUCACUGUGAGGUCUACUACACCUGUUGUAUUCAGUAUUUCACUGUGAGGUCUACUACACCUGUUGUAUUCAGCAUUUCACUGUGAGGUCUACUACACCUGUUGUAUUCAGUAUUUCACUGUGAGGUCUACUACACCUGUUGUAUUCAGCAUUUCACUGUAAGGUCUACCUACACCUGUUGUAUUCAGCAUUUCACUG